GACGAACGCUGGCGGCGUGCUUAGUACAUGCAAGUCGAACGGAAAGGCCCUGCUUUUGUGGGGUGCUCGAGUGGCGAACGGGUGAGUAACACGUGAGUAACCUGCCCUUGACUUUGGGAUAACUUCAGGAAACUGGGGCUAAUACCGGAUAGGAGCUCCUGCUGCAUGGUGGGGGUUGGAAAGUUUCGGCGGUUGGGGAUGGACUCGCGGCUUAUCAGCUUGUUGGUGGGGUAGUGGCUUACCAAGGCUUUGACGGGUAGCCGGCCUGAGAGGGUGACCGGCCACAUUGGGACUGAGGUACGGCCCAGACUCCUACGGGAGGCAGCAGUGGGGAAUAUUGCACAAUGGGCGGAAGCCUGAUGCAGCAACGCCGCGUGCGGGAUGACGGCCUUCGGGUUGUAAACCGCUUUCGCCUGUGACGAAGCGUGAGUGACGGUAAUGGGUAAAGAAGCACCGGCUAACUACGUG
rnacentral:rRNA from 1 species